rnacentral:sRNA from 1 species
CUGACUACUCUGAAAACAGAAGUCCUCUCUUUAACCACAGAAAAGGUACAGCACAAGCAAGGUAGAAGAGACUUCCCCAUAUUUCUUUCCUAUUUGAUUUACAAGCUCCACUUUCGGGGUGCGAGGAUAGUUCCACAUCCAUUCCUAUUCAAUACUUGGUCACU